UCCCUGGAGGACUAGUGGUUAGGCCUCGGCACUCUCCCGCCACGGCUUGGGUUCAAUUCCCGGCUAGGGAA